GGCAAAAUCAUCACGUGCUCUCCCUCUCCCUCGCCUCUCUUCAACGAAGAAUCCCAGAAGCAGCUCAAGCCCCCCCAUUUCAAUUUCUCUCUCUGCAAUCAUUCCUCGGACUCCGUCUCUGACCACCAUCCAUGGCGGUUUCUUUAAGAGCUAUUAGAAACAUACGUUUUUCUUCUUUUCUCUAUCGAGCUUUGUCUUCUUCUUUAAGUUCCGGAGCUGACCUCAAAUCUUCUGCCUUUUUCGGUCACAGUAAGUCUCUGCCUCUCCGUGCUGAACCCAAGGAUAGAAAUGUCCAGUGGGUUUUCCUCGGCUGCCCUGGCGUUGGUAAAGGCACCUAUGCUUCUCGCCUCUCCAAUCUUCUUGGUGUCCCUCACAUCGCCACCGGCGAUCUCGUCCGUGAGGAGCUUAAUUCCUCUGGUCCUCUUGCCUCUCAGCUUGAGGAGGUUGUGAACCAAGGGCAAUUAGUUUCGGAUGAAAUUAUUAUAAAUUUAUUGUCCAAGCGUCUUGAAGCUGGAGAAGCUAAGGGUGAAUCCGGUUUUAUUCUGGAUGGUUUCCCUCGAACUAUCAGACAAGCUGUGAGCAGUUCUUGUGAUCUGUUGUUGUUUAUAUAGUCAAGCGUAAUUUCUAAGCUUGGGGGUGUUUUAUUUAUUAAAAUUUGACAAACAAGGAUUCUUGAGACUGGAAAUAUUGGAGGGAGUAACAGAUAUUGACUUGGUGGUUAACCUAAAGCUUCAGGAAGAAGCAUUACUUGCAAAAUGCCUUGGAAGAAGGAUUUGUAGUGAGUGUGGAGGAAAUUACAAUGUUGCCAGCAUUGACAUCAAGGGUGAAAAUGGGAAACCUGGAAUGUAUAUGGCUCCACUUCUUCCUCCUCCUCAUUGUGCAUCAAAACUUAUCCAACGAUCUGAUGAUACGGAAGAAGUUGUCAAGGAGCGACUCCGUGUUUACAAUGAAAUGAGUCGACCUGUUGAAGAGUUCUACCGCCAACGUGGGAAGUUGUUGGAGUUCACUCUUCCUGGAGGAAUCCCGGAAUCUUGGCCAAAGCUGCUUCAAGCUCUGAAUCUUGAAGACCCUGAAGUUAAACAAUCUGCAGCUGCAUGAGUUCCAACAGUUCCGUAUCAUAUUUGCAAGAUAAGUUUGGUCAUUCUUUGCAUGUGAGGGAUGUGAUAUUAUUUAUAAUGAAAGGGAAAACAGGACUGCGCAAUAAACAAAGUCUAAACCAUUUAGAAGCUGUGAUAUUGUUUGGAGAGCGGGAGGACUGUACUUUUGGUGAUAUUAAGUCGUCGAGUGAUGGUUUAGUCCAAGGUUAUUAUAUUGUAGCAAACUAUCAGUGCCUUUCAAUAUGGUGACAGUUGGUUUAGUCCAUGUUAAUUACAUGGUGACCAACUGUCAUUGCCAUUCAAUUUUGCUGUAUUAUUUUAUUUGGUUAUGAAAUUCUAUUUCAGGGUUCUUUGGACUGAAGUUCCAAACCAGAAAAGCAAAUAACAUGGAAAAUGUAUGAGCUACGUCAAGUGAAACAAAAAUUCAGACUUUUAUUCUUUGGAUGUGAACACCUUUAGUCCAUCUUAACUAGUUCUAUUCAUUGUGAGGUGCUAGCUAAUGUCUCUGAUUGUGCAGUGCUAUUGGGAAUGUGUCUGAGUUCCUAUUAACCUGCAAAUGGAAAGCUGGAUCAUAUUAGUUCCAACAUUGUAAUAAUGUAUUUGUGUCGAAAAUUCAAUGCAUAUAUUUCAUUGCAG
rnacentral:misc_RNA from 1 species